rnacentral:rRNA from 1 species
CCUACGGGUGGCAGCAGUGGGGAAUAUUGGGCAAUGGGCGCAAGCCUGACCCAGCAACGCCGCGUGAAGGAAGAAUGCUUUCGGGUUGUAAACUUCUUUUCUCAGGGACGAAGCAAGUGAAGGUACCCGAGGAAUAAGCCACGGCUAACGACGUGCCAGCCGCCGGGGUAAUACGGAGGUGGCAAGCUUUAUCCGGAUUUACUGGGGGUAAAGGGCGUGUAGGCGGGACUGCAAGGCAGAUGUGAAAACCACGGGCUCAACCUGUGGCCUGCAUUUGAAACUGUAGUUCUUGAGUACUGGAGAGGCAGACGGAAUGCCUAGUGUAGCGGUGAAAUGCGUAGAUAUUAGGAGGAACACCAGUGGCGAAGGCGGUCUGCUGGAGAGCAACUGACGCUGAGGCGCGAAAGCGUGGGGAGCGAACAGGAUUAGAUACCCCUGUAGUC